CUUCCAGCUCCAAUAGGAUAUAUCAAAGUUGUUGCAGUUAAAAAGCUCGUAGUUGAAGUUUUGGAGAGUAGUCUUUGUCUUUUCCGGCUUGGGGAGCAAUCCUCUUCGGGAAGGGCACUCUCUCCACAUUGUGGACCAUCCCUUUUAGUUUUUGCGAUUUUUUUCGCGAAAGCAGAAAGGGCCACUCCGUCACUGAGAGCAAAUUGGAGUGCUCAAAGCAGGCUUUACAGCUUUGAACAUAUUAGCUUGGAAUGACAAGAUACGACUCUGGUCGGUUUAUUUUGUUGGUUAUUUAGACUAGAGUAAUGAUUAGCAGGAACAGUAGCGGGGGUACUCGUAUUGAAAGGUCAGAGGUGAAAUUCUUGGAUUCUUUCAAGACGAACGACUGCGAAAGCAUUUACCAAGGAUGUUUUCAUUAAUCAAGAACGAAAGCUUGGGGAUCGAAGAUGAUUAGAUACCAUCGUAGUCCAACGCCAUAAACGAUGCCGACUCGGGAUUGGUAGGUGUUCUUUUUAAAACAUGAACCCUAUCAGCACCGUAUGAGAAAUCAAAGUCUUUGGGUUCCGGGGGGAGUAUAGUCGCAAGGAAGAAACUUAAAGGAAUUGACGGAAGGGCACACCAGAGGUGGAGCCUGCGGUUUAAUUUGACUCAACACGGGGAAACUUACCAGGUCCAGACAUGAUGAGGAUUGACAGUUUGAAAGCACUUUCUUGAUUUCAUGGGUGGUGGUGCAUGGCCGUUCUUAGUUGGUGGAGUGAUUUGUCUGGUUGAUUCCGAUAACGAACGAGACGGGGGGAGUUUACUAGUUUGCAUAAUCUAAUUCGCGUUAGAUGGAACUUCUUUACUCGACAACUCGGUUUUACCGAGAGGAAGCGCCCCGCAAUAACAGGUCUGUGAUGCCCUUAGAUGUUCUGGGCUACACGCGCGCUACAAUGACGAGUUCAACGAGUUUUUUAUUCCUUGUCCGGAAGGAUGUGGGUAAUCUUUUCAAUGCUCGUCGUGAUGGGGCUAGAUUUUUGCAAUUAUUAAUCUUCAACGAGGAAUCUCUAGUAUGUGCAGUUCAUCAGACUGCGCAGAAUGCGUCCCUGCCCUUUGUACACACCGCCCGUCGCACCUACCGAUUGGACGAUCCGGCAAGAUGUUUGGAGUGUUGUGUUUGUGUGAUUUCGAUCAUGUGAACAUGACGCAAAGCUC
rnacentral:rRNA from 1 species